UACGGAGGGUGCAAGCAUUACCCGGAUUCACUGGGCGUAAAGGGCGUGUAGGCGGUUUAUUAAGUCUGGCUUUAAAGACCGAAGCUCAACUUCGGGAAUGGGUUGGAUACUGGUUGACUAGGCGACUGGAGGGGCGGGUGGAAUUCUCGGUGUAGCGGUGGAAUGCGUAGAUACCGAGAGGAACACCAGUGGCGAAGGCGGCCCGCUGGACAGUGCGCGACGCUGAGGCGCGAAAGUGUGGGGAGCGAACCGG
rnacentral:rRNA from 1 species